UGAGCAAACUCAUCCUCAAGAGCCUCAGCAGUGACCUACCUGAAGUUUGCAGAUAUUUAGGUCCAGGCUUUGGUCGAGAUUGAUUUUAUUCUUGCGUUGUAAGCACGAGUGAGUAGUUGCGUCAGUGUUGUUGAUGUAGAACCGGUAGUGUAACAUAAAGGACAAUGAAAUACAGAUCAGAUACAGGUUUUUAAAUGUUCAGCCCUAUGUUUUCCUGUGGAACACCAUCUCGUGCUGUGGAAUGGCCUGUUUUCUGUGAGGUCUCUUCUGGCUCGUUUGUAUUUGGGCGGGUGUGACUGUGAGGGAAGGGUAGGGAGGCAACGUCAGCAUUCUGUCCUGCAGAGGUGGGCAGUGUGGCGGUGCUGCUGCCGUGCAGCUCAGUGCCUUCUGCUCAGGACCCCCUGCUGACCGACCAUCCUUGCACUGCAGUGGUCGCAGGCAUCGGAAGCACAGCUAGAGGGAAAUGCAAGCCAGGCGUGGCUGAGCACCACUUCUCACAGUGCUUUCCAAAAUUAAUGCCUCCAUGGAGUCGUUGACAGAUAAAAUGUGGAUGUCUCACAGGUCAACACCUGCCAACAGUAUGGCAGUUUCUUACACAACAGCACUAGUUCAGUGCUCUCUAUGCAAGACUUAGGUGUUCUAGGUCAGGUAUUCAAAUAAAAGGCCUAGAAGAGACAAAACUCAUUCCCUCUAGCAGUUUUAAUUUUCCUUAGUGAGACAUUGUGGUGGUUAAGUGUAUGUUGGUCUCAGUGUUACCAAUGUAUGCAAUGUUAGUCUUCCUUAAGGGAUUUCUGACACCUAUCUCACUCCGUUUUUAAGGGAUUGAGUCCUGGCUGUUACGACACUUACAAUGCUGACAUCGAUUGCCAGUGGAUUGAUAUCACAGAUGUGAAACCUGGAAACUACAUUCUGAAGGUCAGCGUAAACCCCAGCUAUUUGGUACCUGAAUCUGAUUACUCCAACAACAUAGUGCGCUGCGAUAUACGCUAUACUGGCCACCAUGCAUAUGCCUCUGGCUGUACAAUUUCACCGUAAGUAUAUUUCCUGUUCGGUGUCCAUAGCACUGAAGCUGACAUUCAGAUGUAUGGAGAUGAGGAAUUUCAUAGCUUCAAGGACCUGGAGUGUAAAUUCGAAGUUCGGAUGGCGCGUUUUAAAGGUCUUUUCUGGAAAGAAGGUCGGGAAUCAUUACUUUGCUGUCGAUAACUGCAUAACUUGAGAAUCCUGACCUGCCGUAAAUAAAUGCUUUGCAUUACCUAGCAUUAAUUUGAAAAACAUAUUAAUUAGGCUUGAAAGCUAGCCUAAGUGAGAACUUUGCUUCUGAAGUCUUGCUACUGGGAUAUGUGGCACUUGACAGUAGCUCCUGCUGCCUGGGCAGUCACUAUGCCUGGCUCGAGUCCUUUGUAUUUGCACUACAAUCUUUCUGUUCUCAUUCAGUACCAACCUUAGUGCAUUCAAGCAGAACAGCUGAGCAGUUAAAUAGCUCUUAAAGCAUUCUGUAAAAUCCCACACGUGUAUGUUAGCUGUGCUGCCGUGGGUGCAACGGCCGUCCUUCCCGAAUCAGCCAUUCCAGGUACGCUGUGUUGACAGCUCUUCAAAAGUUUAAACAGUGCUGCAACUGUGCAUGGUCUCGUUUUUCCUCCGGGAAGGCAAAUUCACAUUUAAUUAGUGUUCUUACUUGCAGAUCUGCUGUAGCUUAGUAGAUGCACACAAAAGGCGAUUGCUCUGUAACACAAUAACGAGCAGUUUCCAAGUUUACAGGUAUACAACAUUUACCAAAUGGGUUGGCUUGCAUGGCAUAAGAAAUGGUGUGCUAACCACGCAUAGAGAAUCAUCCAAGAAAAAUUCCAGAGCAGUAAUGAAGAGUAAAUGACAGCGUAGUCUACCGUAACAGCGUCAAUGAAAUAAACGUAGUGUGAAUAUUGAUCAGUUGGCCUAAUGAAUGUAUUAGGAGACGGGUCAUUAAGGGAGGCUAAAAUGAGGAACUUUGUUCUGUCUGGCAGGGAGGUCUGUGUUUCUAAUCACACUUGGGUCGUGAGUGCAACAGGUUAAAUGGCACCAGCCUAAUUCUUUGUUCUCGCUGUAGGGUGGUAAGGCUUGCAGGAAGCAGUGGCAGAGCAGGUGUCCUACAGGGCAGAGUAAUUAAUGAGGGACCAGUAGAAGGAGCUUUUAAAAGCAUUUGGCCUCUGUGUAGCAGAGGUGACUAACUGCAGCAAAGUUACUGCAGCAAGGGCUGCUUCUUUCUGUUCACUCGCAUGCCAAUGGAAGAGAAAUUUACGCUUUAUUCCUUAACUUAAUGGUUUCCAUUGGCAAAUGUAAUCAGAUAGACGUAUUCAGGCUGGUGAGAAGGCAGCAUUUCUUCUGCUGUUUUUGAGCUGCACCUCCAAGCUGAUGAAAGCACAUUUAGCAGAUCUUCGUGUGUGUGUGUGUGUGUGUGCGUGUGUGUGUAUUUCUUUUGGCCAUUUGCAUAACACUGUUUCUUCUCCUUUGACAGAUACUGAGAGAGACAUGAGAAGAUGGACGAGACGGUGCCAAGUGUUUUGAACUGAAGUACCAUUGUAUCAAUUUCCAUAGGACGUAAACAGUAUAGAAGCAAACCUACAGAACAUACACACCUACACCCACACACACCAUGUGAUCCUUUUGAAGCGCGUCGGCUGCUUCUCAGCAAAAUCCGAAGCUGGGUUUUAAGCAUCUGAAUUGGCAUUGUGUUUCUAACCAUUGAAAUGAGUGAAUCUGGUGACUCGUGCACAGAUACUCCAAAUUUUGAAGUAUUAGUUCAUUUGCAAAGACAAGCAACCCACAGGCAUUUUUCAACUCCUGCUAAUUCGGAGUUCAGGCGAUGAGAGAUAGACUUCAGUCAGAAUAUUACUGGUGAAUGAGUUGAGCAUAUUCUUAAAAAGGUAGCAAAUCUUUCUGUAAAAUGCAAUAGAAAGUGCUAACGCCAGCUGUCUCAGAAAGCACCAGAAUGAAAAACUGCUUGAGAGUGACCCCACUGUAACCAUUCAGACAAAACUUGCUGGGACGUGUUGAUACGAAUGAGAGAAGUACGUUCAGUUUUCAAGGGAUAUUAACAUAUAGCAGAGAAAUGCAUAUAUCUAUAUCUAUCUAUCAGUUACCCCCCUGCAAGAAAAGCUGUGUUUACACUUUUAAUACGUUAGAAGUUCUACCGUUUCCUUAAGUCCAAAGUGGAUGGGGUUUUGAAAGAAACCUUCCGUCCAUAGGAACAAAUUAAAGAACUUAUCCACCUUUCUACGUUGAAGAGAUCUUUCAAGGUGGGGCUUUUUAAAAGACUUCUGCACACGUAACGUGGAUAGAAAUGAUUACCUGCCAAGGAGAGGGCUCGCAGAGAUGGUGAAGAGUCCCUGGUGCAGUCAUCUGUGAGAAACAGUCCAUUUGAACAGGUUAGCCAUCAGAACAGCGCAGGCAGUUAACUCGGAUGGCACCACGAAAGAAAAGCAGGUCAGAAUCUCUAACGUGGUAUUUCCGUUGUGAGAAAGCCUAAUGCCUACUUCCCCCUUAAGUACUGCAUUUGGCUGUUAAAACUUGGAUCUAUAUCUCAGAAUUCGACCGGCGGAAUUGGGAAUACAGAGGGAGAACAGAAGCAAAUACACUAAGCAUCCUAACUUAGGCUGUUCAGGACCCAAACAUUGCUAAGGGGAAAAACUUCCAGCCCACAUCAAAUUUUUUUUUCACUGAACUUCUUACUGGUGCUGGGUACACCACCCCUCCUCCCAUCCCCAAAUUAUCUUGCUUUUGCAGUGCACCCUGCUGUAAGCUACAGUAGCUGUGAUUUUUGUCUUUAAACUGUGAAAUAACAUAUCACAAGGGGAUCUCGUGCUUUCUUUCGGAAGAUUUCAGAUCAUGUAAAAUGAAGGACCUACUUUUGAGACCAUGACCAUUUUUAAAACCAUGGUGUUGGUUAUGUUUAAGCAGGAGUUCCAUAGUGCCUAACGAAACGUGAAACCUCAGUACCACACACAUAUAUAUAGAUAUAUAGAUAUAUAGAUACAAUAUGUGUGCUAUUCAGUAUAGUUGAAGAAAGGGAAAAAAACCUGAGGAAUACGCAAGGUUUUUGAUCACUGCUGAGAAUACUUCAGGCAGUGUUUGGAAGUGUUUUAUGAAAUAGAACCCUAUGAACUCUGUUUGCAAGUUCUAUCAGUUGUGAUAACCGUUACGGAUCAACGUGUUCUUUACUGCAUAUAUUUAUUUCAGGACUGUAAAGUACUUCCACCUUAAUCAUGACUAGGUUAUGCUUGUAGAGCUAGUUGGUAUGCUGAAAAAGCACCUAAGAACCAACAGCCCCCUUCUCACUGCCCAGUGUUUGAAGCGUGUCCUGAAUGCAGUUUAGACUGCAGGUCCUUUCUUUGUUUGCUCAGAGAUCCAUUUUAGCAAUCAGUUACCACUGUGGGCCCCAAAGAGGAGCAAAAUUUGGAGACCAGCUUUCUUAGGAGGCCAUUUAUUGCAUGCAUCUGCAAAGCGAGGGCCUGGUUCAAGUUUAGGCUUCUGAAAUCUCAGCUCAAACAGUCUUUAAGGUUUGGGGGAUGCAAAUGCAUUCACCUUUCUAGAAACUUAGGUCAGAAUUGGGGUGAAAGUCCUGGCAGCAGCUUGUGCAAUAGAAACACAAGCUACUACUGUAAUGGAAGCUAAGCUGUGGCGGGCACAGACUGCUUCCUGGUAAGAGGUGGUGUGCUCUUACUUCAUGGUGCUUGACACUGAACGUGGGAUAAGAGAGUGCUAACUGGACACAGAGCAGCUGAGGAGUUUCUCCCUCAGUUUUCAAGGCAGUACCCUGCUUGCGUAUCUAUAUCCAAACUACUUGCAGAACUCCACUGAGAUCAGCAAGAAGCCAGAGGAGCUUAAGCAUCCUGUUGUAGGUGGAGCAUGUUGUAGUACUGGACUUGGACCUUUCAGUGGGAAUGGCCUGGUUCGGAAAGGUGCUGAACGCCAUAACUGAGUAUUGGGGAUAUUGUGGUUACAGAGAUGUAGCUCUUUUCCGUAGCAAAACGUUGUAUUUGUUUUAAAGUGUAAGUUAAGGAACAUGACAGUGAUGUACAACAGCACAAACGUUGCCUAAGAUAACACGAGCGAUCUAUCCAGAAAAGCAAGGAGAUUUUAGGAUUAAAAAAAAAAAAAGAAGAAGAAAUGUGACUUUAACUUACCCUAUUUAACUAUAGUUAAUCACAAUGCAGUAGAAGAGUUGAUCAUAUAGCAAGUGUAGAAGCAUUUCUAAAUAGGGGAGUGCCAGCCAGUAUCUUCAGUAUCUUGGCUUUGCAGUUUUGACCCAGGUAUCUUAACUAUUUUCAUACUGGAAUAUAUUUAAGAAAUUACAUGCAUUUUUUUGUUUGUUUGUUUGUUUGUUUUUGUUGAAAACCAUUUAUAUAUAUAUAUAUAUAUAAAAAAAAAAAAACAGUUUUGAUAACAUCUUAUGAAGCAAAUUCUGUCUUGGAACCCUUCCUGCCAGGCGUUUGAAUGGGAGUCAGUGGGAGCAGUAUCAUAUGAGUCGCAGUACAAAAUCACUGCCGUGUGGUCUGAGAUCCUCUUUGAAAUGUGAGGACAUGAAGUACAUGUGCGAAGCAGUCGCCUCCCACAUUUCAGGCCUUCAGAUAAAAGCUGCUCAUAAGGAACACGCUGCGUAUCAGGCUCCCUACAGAAGGGGUUCGUUACGUGGUUUUUUUUUUUUUAAUCCUGAAAUAUAUUUAGUAUUUGAAUACUUCUAGACAAAAACAUGACGAAAAUGACAGAUCGGUCACCAUCUGAACCAGCAUAUUGCGUAGAUGUUUUUUUUUGUGUGUUGGUGAAAGCCUACUCGUUUUCUCUCUGCUCCAAAGUUUACUGUGCAGCGUUGAAUGGGUGCAAACACCAAACGUACCUUAGUCAUUUAUGUGUUGUUUGUACUGUACUCAUUCAAACCAGCAGGGUGAAUUUCACACCAGACAACCAAAGGUGGUUUAUCCUGUGUCUCACAUUUAUGCUGACAUGGCAUUUUUCAUUUUCUCCAAAUCCUAGAAGGUGCUGAAAGGUUUUAACUUGAAUUAAAACCGAUGAGUAUGUUACGGGGAGGUUUCUAUUAUGCAACUAACUGCUACAGAUUCAGUGAAAUGCCACUUGUUUUUGCAGCUUUUUUUGAAGUUUUCAUUAUUUCCUUCACUUUUCUUCCAACAGUCUUGACUUCAGCAAAACUUUGCAUCUUUAUCUGAUGAGUUCUUAUUUAUAAUAUUCAGACACUAGCUUUGUAUUCUUUAUUGCACUUUCAUAUUCUUGUGUUACAUGCCCGUAUUAUGGUUGCAAGUUUAUGUGAAAAUGACUUGAAUAAAACUUUUCAAGCGUUC
ensembl:lncRNA